UUUGUGUUUAUGUUUUGAAGGAGUUUCCUCUAACUUCUGCACAGGUGUUUCAUCCUAUUUUUCACUUCUCACCUCUGCAUAUGUAAGAAACUUCAUCAAGCACAAAGUACUACAAACUAGCAAUAGUUUCUGGCAUUCAUUUUUUUCACCAUAACGCUACCCUCACCAGCAUUACUGUUUUAUUUAUUAUUUAUUUUGGGGAAUCAUUGAGCUUUUCCCACUGCCUCCUCACCCCCUUUUGUUUUUUGGAAUGUUUCCAUGUGUAGUUGAACAUUUACGCUUAUAAUUCCUUUCCUCAUCAUAUCCACUUUUUGACAUGUUGGUUUAAUUUGGUUUUGUUCAGUUUCUCUGUCUUCAUCAUAUUCUGUAUAUUCUGAGAAUGCGCCAUGCUCCUGUUCAUGACUUUCUUCUCUUUUCAGCUGGCUUAACCAGGGUAGCAGCACAACUACUUCCUCCUGACUUCAGACAGCUGUGCUGGUUUCUUUGGGUAAGCAAGGACACCAAAUAUGUACAUGCACAGCAAGGUCCCUCAGCCAUAGCAGCAGCACUUCCUGGAACAGACUACAAGUGGCAGAUGAGUGGUAAUUAAACACAGCUGCUGCCCAAGAGCCCAGAGUCAUUUCUUCACUCAAAAAAUGGUCUACUGAGUGCCUGAAAUGGAGCAGCCUCUCCUGUAGGUACAGGAAGCAUGGUUCUGAACAAAGUAGGCUUGCAACAGUCUCUCUGACCUGCCCCCUCAACAUCCCUGAUGACCUAAUCCACAGUCUUCUUUAAGAAUAAAAAUAUGCAUUUUAGCAAUGCAAAACUUUAUAAGAAAUAAAAUAAAAAUGAUGACGUCUAGCAAUCCUUUUCUCUCAAGAAUCAAAUACAGUUAUUUAUUAUGGUCAAAGGGUGUUUCUUUCCUAUUUCUAGAAGAAUAGUGUACUUCUUUUGUUUCUUUUUAACCUCUUUUCUACAUCUGAGCAUUGGAAUAUGAGGCUCGCAUAUGGAGGUCAUUUGAAUACCAUGCCAAAUUUAGCAGUUAUAACGAGGAAAAAUAAAUGACUCCCAGUGAUCUGUCAACUCUUAGCUACUGAGCACUAAAGUCAGAUAAUGGAGUAGCAAGGUAAUUUUAAAAAAUAGAUGUGAGCCCUUUUCUUAGGAAAUCUCAGGUGUGUUCUGGGCAGCGGUGUUUAUCAAAAGCUCCCCAAGCAAUUCUAACAUUCAACCAGUGUGUACCAGGUAUGAUGUACUCUGAACACACCACACCUGUCGUGCACAACAGGGAAUUUGUAACAUCUAAUUAUCCAGUGCAACUCAGUAGACUUUUCUGCUGAGCACAAACUAGUGUUGUUUUGAAAACAGUUUACUUAUACUUGACUCAUGACAGAGAAGCACUGACCCUAUAAAUCAGAAUAUUUUUCCCUACAUGUAUCUUUGAUUUUAAUUUUUAAUUUAAUAGUUUUUUGGGGAACAGGUAGCUUUUGUUUAGAUGAAUAAGUUCUUUAGCAGUUAUUUCUGAGAUUUUGGUGCUCCCAUCACCUGAGCAGUGUACACUGUAUCCAAUGUGUAACAUUUUGUCCCUCACCAUCCCUCACCCUCCUGAGUCUCCAAUGUCCAAAAUAUUACUCUUAUGUCUUUGCAUCCUCAAAGCUUAGCUCCCAUGUGUGAGUGAGAACAUACAAUAUGUCGUUUUUCAGUCCUCAGUUAGUUCACUUAGAGUAAUAGUCUCCAAUUUCAUCCAGGUUGCUGCAAAUGCUAUUAUUUUGUUCCUUUUAUAGCUGAGUAGACUUAAAUCUAAGAAUUGAAACCAUAAAGAUUCUAGAAGAUAACACUGGAAAAACCUUUCUCAACAUUGGCUUAGGGAAAGACUUCAUGACCAAGAACCCAAAAGCAAAUGCAACAAAAAAAAAGGUAACUAGAUGGGACUUAAUUAAACUAAAAAGCUUCUUCACAGAAAAAGAAAGAACCAAGAGUUAACAGACAACCCACAGAAUGGGAGAAAAUAUUACCAAACUAUGCACUUGACAAAGCACUAAUAUCAAGAAUCGACAAAGGACUAAUAUCAAGAAUCUACAAGUAACUCAACACAUCAGCAAGAAAAAAACAAACAAUCCCAUCAAAAGGUGGGCUAAGUAUAUAAGUAAACAAUUCUCAAAAGAAGAUAUACAAAUGGCCAAAAAACAUAUGAAAUAUGCUCAACAUCACUAAUGAUCAGAGAAAUGCAAAUCAAAACCACAAUGCGGUAUCAUCUCACUCCUGCAAAAAUGGCCAUAAUGGAAAAAUAAAAAAAAAUAGAUGUUGGCAUGGGUGUGGUGAAAGGGGAACACUUUUAUACUGUUGGGUGGGAACGUAAACUAUGUAACAACCACUAUGGAAAACAGUGUGGAGAUUCCUUAAAGAACUGAAAGUAGAUCUACUGUUUGGUAUAGCAAUCCCACUAGUAGGUAUCUAGGAAAAGAAGUUUAUUCAAAAAAGAUACUUGCACACACAUGUUUAUGGCAGCAUAAUUUAUAAUUGCAAGAAUAUACAACCAGUCAAAAUGCCCAUCAAUCAACGAGUGGAUAUAUAUAUAUAUACCAGACUUUCACAUUUUAUAUAUAUACAUGCACACACAUGCCAUGAAAUACAAACUAGUGUUUUUCUCAGAUUCCUCUUCCUAGCUUAUUUAAUUAUAUUUUACACGUGAUUAUUUUUUCGGAAAGUCUGAGAAAGCAAACUUCUAAUAAUCAUAUUUUACAUUAAAGUGAAAGUGAAGUAAUCAGAACUUAGAUCUCUAAAACUUUCAGGUUUAUUAGCAAGUUUCACU